rnacentral:rRNA from 1 species
GAGUUUGAUCCUGGCUCAGGACGAACGCUAGCGGUGCGCCUUAUGCAUGCAAGUUGAGCGAAGCUUUUUGGUAGUUUACUACUAGAAAUGACUGAGCGGCGAACGGGUGAGUAACGCGUGAGCAAUCUACCUUAGUUACUGGGAUAGCCCGAGGAAACUCGGAUUAAUACCGGAUAUUCUUAUUUUUUCACAUGAAGUUUUAAGGAAAGGUCAGCCGAACUAAGAUGAGCUCGCGUUCUAUCAGCUAGUUGGUGGGGUAAAAGCCUACCAAGGCUACGACGGAUAGCUGGUCUGAGAGGACGAUCAGCCACACUGGGACUGAGACACGGCCCAGACUCCUACGGGAGGCUGCAGCAGGGAAUAUUGUGCAAUGAGCGAAAGCUUGACACAGCGACACCGCGUGUGGGAUGACGGUUCUAGGAUUGUAAACCACUUUCAGGAGGGAAGAAAAUGACGGUACCUCCACAAGAAGACCCGGCCAACUAUGUGCCAGCAGCCGCGGUAAUACAUAGGGGUCAAGCGUUGUCCGGAUUUAUUGGGCGUAAAGAGCUCGUAGGCGGUUCAACAAGUCGGUCGUAAAAGUUUAGGGCUCAACCCUAAAAUGUCGAUCGAUACUGUUGUGACUAGGAUACGGUAGAGGUAAAUGGAAUUCCGAGUGUAGCGGUGAAAUGCGUAGAUAUUCGGAGGAACACCAAUUGCGAAGGCAGUUCACUGGACCGUGAUCGACGCUGAGGAGCGAAAGCUAGGGGAGCAAACAGGAUUAGAUACCCUGGUAGUCCUAGCUGUAAACGAUGGAUACUAGAUGUAGGAACUGGAUUGACGGUUUCUGUAUCGUAGCUAACGCGUUAAGUAUCCCGCCUGGGGAGUACGGUCGCAAGACUAAAACUCAAAGGAAUUGACGGGACCCCGCACAAGCGGCGGAGCAUGCGGCUUAAUUCGAUGAUACCCGUAGAACCUUACCUGGACUUGACAUAUAGGGAAAAACUGGAGAAAUCCAGUGUGCGUAAGCGCCCUAUACAGGUGGUGCAUGGCUGUCGUCAGCUCGUGUCGUGAGAUGUUGGGUUAAGUCCCGCAACGAGCGCAACCCCUGUCCUAUGUUGCCAGCAAGUAAUGUUGGGGACUCAUAGGAGACUGCCGGUGAUAAACCGGAGGAAGGUGGGGAGGACGUCAAGUCAUCAUGCCCCUUAUGUCCAGGGCUGCACGCAUGCUACAAUGGCAAGUACAACGAGUCGCAAUACCGCGAGGUGGAGCAAAUCUCUUAAAGCUUGUCUCAGUUCGGAUAGGAGUCUGCAACUCGACUCCUUGAAGUUGGAGUCGCUAGUAAUCGCAAAUCAGCAAAGUUGCGGUGAAUACGUUCUCGGGGUUUGUACUCACCGCCCGUC